AAAACUAUACUUUCAGGGAUCAUUUCUAUAGUUCGUUACUAGAGAAGUUUCUCUAAAUAUGUAGAGCACCCAAAACCACGACAAGGAGGUGCAGUGUUCUCUCCUGAGCAUGAAGCCAAUUGGCAGAUUUCACAACUGCCAAUAGCCAUUGAUCAUCAUUCUUCUCUUCCUUUGGAAGAGUAAGAGGGAGAGAAUGCAGUCUGAUUGGU